UCAAAAACCUGUCCAUUAUACUAGCAGUGUCCAAGCAUUCUUUUUUUUAUUCAGAGCCACUGCGCCCCCCACUUUGGGAACGACUGCCCUAACCUGUUUUAUCAUAAACCACAGACUGAAGGAGCCACGCUGACUGAGCCAAAGUAAGAUCCAGAUAAAAUCCCAGAGACUCAGAAAACUCGAGCUCAGACUUCCUGGACGGGCUGUUGGUCACUUGUCCACACAGCAACUGUUUCACUGGUCAGAGUACAGGAGCUCUCAACCCAGGCUUUCAAACCUCGUUCAGAAACAAGCAGGUGACGUCAUGGCGAUGAUGUCCAUCUUUUAUACCGUCUACAGGAUGGCGUUGGAGCUGCAGGUGGACGGUGGAGGCUGUGUGUGCUGAACCAGGAUAUCUGCUGUGGUGUGUAACCGGCGCUGGAGGAUCUGCGGCUGAAAGCUGAUAUUCUGCUGGCUCACGGGUUCAGCCUCGUACUGGGUGGACCUCUGUAAUUCCAUUAAUGCUGCCUGCGGGUGAGAGUGUGUGUGUGGACAGAUUGGCCUAUAAUACAAAGUGGCUUACAGGCCUGGAUCUACACACACAGUGCAGGCAUUAAGGUUAUGGAGCCAGGUGGAGGAUUAAAGCCGGCCAGCACGCGAGCAUCACCUGAGGUGACUCCGCAACAACGGUUAACUGUUAGCAACAUGCUAAUGCAGCUUUCCAUCAGUGGACAGUGUAAACAAAGAGCUCAGGACGUAACGCCGAGGAGGAGACUGAUACCAGCAGCAGACCAGUCAGAGCAGUGACUGCUGCUGGUUCUGCUCCUCUUAUUAACAACCUAUCAGAGUUCAGUCUACAAGAAUAUCAUUAAAUUUAAAACAAGA